UACAGAAGCCCCGAGCGUUACCCGGAUUUACUGGGCGUAAAGGGUGCGUAGGCGGUGCUAUUAGUCUUUCGUUAAAACUUCGGGCUCAACCCGAAGAUCGCGAAGGAAACGGUAGCACUAGAGAAUGUGAGGGGUGUGCGGAACUCAUGGUGUAGGGGUGAAAUCCGUUGAUAUCAUGGGGAACACCGAAAGCGAAGGCAGCACACUGGCGCAUUUCUGACGCUGAGGCACGAAAGCGUGGGUAGCGAACGGG
rnacentral:misc_RNA from 1 species